rnacentral:lncRNA from 1 species
CCUAUUAAGUCGUUUUGCAUGAUAGGAACUUCAAAUUAAUAAUCGGCACCGUUGAAAUUGAUCUACACAAUUAGAAAUGUUUAGAAAUCAAAUUUUGUAAUAUUUAGAAAUCAUUAUCAAGUUCAUCUUAAGAGUUGAAAAAUGAACAGUCAUAAAUGAAUAGCCUUCUUAAAAUAGAGGUUAGACUUUCUCAAUUCAUAAUCAGAGUUAUCAAACAUUAUCUAAAUAGUAUAAAGAAUUUUCUAUCAAAAAUUCAAGCAAUUUGGAUUGUUCUACACCGUUAAACAAGCAAACGGCUCAUAUAGACCGUCAAAAAUUGUCGAUUUUACGACACUUUGAUCACCAUAUAAAUAAUUUUUAAAAUUUAUGAAAUUUAGUGUUUAGAUAUUUCAAAUACUCUAGAUCAACUUCAACGGCUCCGAUCAUCGAUUCGGAAUUUCUAUCAUCAAAAACCAUUUGAUAGGACAAGUGCUACUAUCCUAUUAAUAGGAUAGUAGCCCUA